rnacentral:rRNA from 1 species
AUUGAACGCUGGCGGCAUGCUUUACACAUGCAAGUCGAACGGCAGCACGGGCUUCGGCCUGGUGGCGAGUGGCGAACGGGUGAGUAAUGCAUCGGAACGUACCGUGUAAUGGGGGAUAACGUAGCGAAAGUUACGCUAAUACCGCAUACGCCCUGAGGGGGGAAAGUGGGGGACCGCAAGGCCUCACGUUAUACGAGCGGCCGAUGUCGGAUUAGCUAGUUGGUGGGGUAAAGGCCUACCAAGGCGACGAUCCGUAGCGGGUCUGAGAGGAUGAUCCGCCACACUGGGACUGAGACACGGCCCAGACUCCUACGGGAGGCAGCAGUGGGGAAUUUUGGACAAUGGGCGCAAGCCUGAUCCAGCCAUGCCGCGUGAGUGAAGAAGGCCUUCGGGUUGUAAAGACUCUUCAGUAGGGAAGAAAAAAUAGACGGUACCUACAGAAGAGGCGACGGCGUAAUAAUAGUGCCAGCAGCCGCGGUAA